rnacentral:rRNA from 1 species
GAUGAACGCUGGCGGCGUGCCUAAUACAUGCAAGUCGAGCGAACAGACGAGGAGCUUGCUCCCCUGUCGUUAGCGGCGGACGGGUGAGUAACACGUGGAUAACCUACCUAUAUGUCUGGGAUAACUUCGGGAAACCGGAGCUAAUACCGGAUAAUAUAUUGAACCGCAUGGUUCAAUAGUGAAUGACGGUUUUUCUGUAUCUUAUAGCUGCUUCCCCGCCGCAUUAGCUAGUUGGUAAGGUAACGGCUUACCAGGGCUACGAUGCGUAGCCGACCUGACAGGGGGAUCGGCCACACUGGAAGGGAGACACGGUCCAGAGUCCUACGGGAGGCAGCAGUAGGGAAUGUGCCGCAAUGGGCGAAAGCCUGACGGAGCAACGCCGCGUGAGUGAUGAAGGUCUUCGGAGCGUAAAACUCUGUUAUUGGGGAAGAACAAAUGUGUAAGUAACUAUGCACGUCGUGACGGUACCUAAUCAGAAAGCCACGGCUAACUACGUG